GUGAGUAGUCAGAGUUUGAUCCUGGCUCAGGACGAACGCUGGCGGCGUGCCUAACACAUGCAAGUCGAACGGAGUUUGUUGGUUAGAUCCCUUCGGGGUGACGACCUUUAAACUUAGUGGCGGACGGGGUGAGUAACGCGUGAGCAACCUGCCCUUCAUGGGGGACAACAGUUGGAAACGACUGCUAAUACCGCAUGACGUACGGUUUAGACAUCUUUACCGUACCAAAGGAUUUAUUCGCUGAAGGGAUGGGCUCGCGUCCGAUUAGAUAGUUGGUGAGGUAACGGCUCACCAAGUCGACGAUCGGUAGCCGGACUGAGAGGUUGAUCGGCCACAUUGGGACUGAGACACGGCCCAG
rnacentral:rRNA from 1 species